rnacentral:tRNA from 1 species
GAGGGUGCAGCUCAGUGGCGGAGCACGUGCUUAGCACUCACGAGGUCCUGGGUUCAAUCCCCAGUGCCUCCA